UACAGAGGUCUCGAGCGUUAGGCGGAAUCACUGGGCUUAAAGCGCGUGUAGGCGGGCCGGCGCGUCCGACGCUGAAAUCCCCCCGGCUCAACCGGGGAACCGGCGGGGAUACGGCCGGCCCUGGGAGGGGACGUAGGGGGACCUGGAACUUCCGGUGGAGCGGUGAAAUGCGUUGAGAUCGGAAGGAACGCCCGUGGCGAAAGCGAGGUCCUGGACGUCUGCU
rnacentral:rRNA from 1 species